rnacentral:rRNA from 1 species
UUUGUACGUACUGGUAUUAUUGGUUUCUCCUUUCUGACGAACUAUAAUGCCAUUAAUUUGGUGUUUUAGGGAAUCAGGACUGUUACUUUGAAAAAAUUAGAGUGUUUAAAGCAGGCUCACGCUUGAAUACAUUAGCAUGGAAUAACGGAAUAGGACGUUUGAUUCUAUUUUGUUGGUUUCUAGGAUCGACGUAAUGAUUAAUAGGGAUAGUUGGGGGCAUUAGUAUUCAAUUGUCAGAGGUGAAAUUCUUGGAUUUAUUGAAGACUAACUACUGCGAAAGCAUUUGCCAAGGAUGUUUUCAUUAAUCAAGAACGAAAGUUAGGGGAUCGAAGACGAUCAGAUACCGUCGUAGUCUUAACCAUAAACUAUGCCGACUAGGGAUCGGAUGAUGUUAAUUUUUUAAUGACUCAUUCGGCGCCUUACG